AGUGAACGCUGGCGGUAGGCCUAACACAUGCCAGUCGAACGGCAGCACAGUAAUAGCUUGCUCUUACGGGUGGCGAGUGGCGGACGGGUGAGGAAUACAUCGGAAUCUACUUUUUCGUGGGGGAUAACGUAGGGAAACUUACGCUAAUACCGCAUACGACCUACGGGUGAAAGCAGGGGAUCUUCGGACCUUUCGCGAUUGAAUGAGCCGAUGUCGGAUUAGCUAGUUGGCGGGGUAAAGGCCCACCAAGGCGACGAUCCGUAGCUGGUCUGAGAGGCUGAUCAGCCACCCUGGAACUGAGACACGCUCCAGGGUCCUACGGGAGGCAGCAGUGGGGAAUAUUAGACAAUGGGCGCAAGCCUGAUCCAGCGAUACCGCGUGGGUGAAGAAGGCCUUCGGGUUGUAAAGCCCUUUUGUCGGGAAAGAAAAGCAGCAGGUUAAUACCCCGCUGUUCUGACGGUACCCAAAGAAUAAGCACCGGCUAACUUCGUG
rnacentral:rRNA from 1 species